rnacentral:misc_RNA from 1 species
AACUGGCUGACAGUCAAGCGUGCUUUACAACUUGUGGUUGAAGACACUGAUAUUUCCAUGUAUUAUAGUUCCCAAUCAUCAAAUUGGUUUCUUCUAAUAAGUUCAUGUUUUCUUGUUUAGACUUUAGAAUGUUUGUAAAUUUGCCUUUUUCAGUUCUGCUUCAUAUGUCAUAAGCUAAACGGGCCUCACUCUUUGACUGCCAACUGAGGAGAUUACGGGAGACUCAUGUGCUAG